GGAAGGGUGGCCGAGCGGCUUAAGGCACCGGUCUUGAAAACCGGCGUGCAGUUUUCUGCACCGUGGGUUCGAAUCCCACUCCUUCCACCA
rnacentral:tRNA from 1 species